ACUGCAGAGGGCCUAGAGUCAGGGUGGAGACACCGUCAGUACUGCAGAGGGCCUAGAGUCAGGGUGGAGACACCCGACAUGCUUCAGUCCCCGGGGAUCCAAAGAGACGAAUAAAGAGACUAUUGGAACAGAAAUGGGUGCUUGCCGCCUAUCAAGAUUGUAUAUAAAAUAUAUGAAGAUUCCCAUUCACCUGCCAUUCUGCGAUCGGCAGAUUAGGAUUCUGA